rnacentral:rRNA from 1 species
UACGUAGGGGGCUAGCGUUAUCCGGAAUUACUGGGCGUAAAGGGCGCGUAGGUGGUUUCUUAAGUCAGAGGUGAAAGGCUACGGCUCAACCGUAGUAAGCCUUUGAAACUGGGAAACUUGAGUGCAGGAGAGGAGAGUGGAAUUCCUAGUGUAGCGGUGAAAUGCGUAGAUAUUAGGAGGAACACCAGCUGCGAAGGCGGCUCUCUGGACUGUAACUGACACUGAGGCACGAAAGCGUGGGGAGCAAACAGG